rnacentral:misc_RNA from 1 species
GCAAACUUGGUCAUUUAGAGGAAGUAAAAGUCGUAACAAGGUUUCCGUAGGUGAACCUGCGGAAGGAUCAUUAAAGAGAUUUAAUUUGGGAAUUAAAUAUUUAAAUAUUAAUUUUCCAAAGUUAUCUGAACUUGUGGUAAUAAUGAAAAUGAUAUUGGGAUUAAACAUGGUGGGUCUAUUGGUAAGAUUAUUAUUAAGAUUAUUAGUAGAGUACCGGCCCAAAAAAUAUUGAUAAACUCUUUUUAUAAUUGACUGAAAUCAAGUUAAAAAUAAUCCAAUUUUUUGGAUUAAAAAAAAGUUUUAAACAACUUUCAACAACGGAUCUCUUGGUUCUCGCAUCGAUGAAGAACGCAGC